GAUGAUGAUGUGGACAGUCCUGAAAAAGAGCCUUGAAGCACUCCCAAGCAUGAUAUAAAUUCUCAUCUGGCUUCUGUUUGAAGCACACAAUCUUACUGCGAUGUC